CCUACGGGUGGCAGCAGUAGGGAAUCUUCGGCAAUGGACGAAAGUCUGACCGAGCAACGCCGCGUGAGUGAAGAAGGUUUUCGGAUCGUAAAACUCUGUUGUUGGAGAAGAAGGUUAAGAAGAGUGGAAAGUUACUUAAGUGACGGUAUCUAACCAGAAAGGGACGGCUAACUACGUGCCAGCAGCCGCGGUAAUACGUAGGUCCCGAGCGUUGUCCGGAUUUAUUGGGCGUAAAGCGAGCGCAGGUGGUUUCUUAAGUCUGAUGUAAAAGGCAGUGGCUCAACCAUUGUGUGCAUUGGAAACUGGGGAACUUGAGUGCAGGAGAGGGGAGUGGAAUUCCAUGUGUAGCGGUGAAAUGCGUAGAUAUAUGGAGGAACACCGGAGGCGAAAGCGGCUCUCUGGCCUGUAACUGACACUGAGGCUCGAAAGCGUGGGGAGCAAACAGGAUUAGAUACCCUUGUAGUC
rnacentral:rRNA from 1 species